UACGUAGGGGGCAAGCGUUGUCCGGAAUUAUUGGGCGUAAAGAGCGUGUAGGCGGUCCGGUAAGUCAGCUGUGAAAGUCAAGGGCUCAACCCUUGAAAGCCGGUUGAUACUGUCGGGCUAGAGUCCGGAAGAGGCGAGUGGAAUUCCCGGUGUAGCGGUGAAAUGCGCAGAUAUCGGGAGGAACACCAAUGGCGAAGGCAGCUCGCUGGGACGGUACUUACGCUGAGACGCGAAAGCGUGGGGAGCAAACAGG
rnacentral:rRNA from 1 species